ensembl:snRNA Gm22880 U6 spliceosomal RNA
UUGUUUCAGAAACACAGGCACAAAAACAGAAACAACACAGAGAAGAUCAGUGUGGCCUCUCUGCAAGAAUGACAUACAAAUUCAUGAGCAGGCCUGUUUUUAA